AAAGUAAAUAAAUAAAUAAUUAAAUAUUAAUAAAUAAAUAAAUAAAAAUAAAUAAAUAAAUGAGCGGACUUAAGCUCUGAAUAUGAAGUGCAGUAUUUCACCUGACAUUUGAAGACUCUCACAUGCAUUUAGAUCAUUAUUAGAUCCCAAUAUUUUGCAUCUAAAAACUUUAAUAUUUGCUAGUAGCCUACUUAAUAAUCCUCUUGUGAGGUGUAAACAUGUACCUGGCAUAUGGCGUCGGCAGCGACUGUGAGAGACUACGGGGUUAAUAAAGUUUGUUCAUAAGAAUGUCAAAAGAUAGGUGUAAUUUUAAUUGUAUGAAAGUGCGUCUUACCUCAAGGAGUAACGGCAUCACAGUAUUAAGAACGCAGUGAAGCUUGCCCGUGUCACCGGGUUAGGCGCGUAACCGACCACGUGUUUGUUUUGGUACAUGCAAUGCGUGUGCAUGGUCACUUGGGCAAAUCCUUCCUGACUGGCGUCAUUCUGUGUAAAUUACCGGGAUGUCUGGUGUUGCAUUGUUAGAAUCUGGAAGUGUGGAUCCUCACUCCUUGAUCAAGCAGCAGCAGUGGCAGCAGUCAUUGCUGCCCAGAGGAGGAAGCAUCAGGAUGCAUCUAAGAGUGCUCAUUGGCUGCCGGAGGCGAUAUGUCACUGAUUCAACGUAACACGCAAGGCAGCCAAUCACAGGAAGGCUUUGUGUUAUCACCAAGAAUGCCAUGAGACAUUGUUUACAAACUGUUAUGUGCCCACAGCCACCAAUCAUAGUAUUCCAGUCAUGGCCAGCAAACCUCCUAAGAAAAUAAGACCUUGGUUCACUGACACCGAGACCUUAGCCUUGGUGGAGGAGGUGUAAAAUCAGGCUGCAGUGAUUCUGGAAAGGCUGGACAAUAGAAUCACCACAGAAAAGAACAAGACUUGGGAGGAGGUGGCUGCACGUGUGAACGCAGUCAGCCGAGUGGGUAGCUCUGAGGAAGUUUAAGGACCUACGGAGCCACGUGAAGAGCAAGGCUGUUGCAGAACAUCAUCAUGCUACAGGCACUAGUGGACUUAGCUCCAUGCAGGUGAAGGACCUCCAGAGGACACCACCUACACUGUUGUCCUACGGAUGCUGUCACUAACAGCAUUUGCAGAACUGCCAGUCCCUGACAGGGAGGGAGACACAUUAUGAGAGUCUGGCCCUCUGUGAGGACCAUAGCCAUCCACCCACCAGCAGUGGUGUUACAGUCAUCCAGCCCUCAUCUGCUGGUGUUGCUGGGGCCUCUGGAUUCAUUGGUGCUGUGGGUGCAUUAUGUGAAGUUUUAGCAGUGGGCAUUAGUUUCUGAACUCAUGCAUCUUACAGAUGACAUCACCCAUUGGUGAAUAACUGUUGCCACUCAUUCAUGUUAACAUGUAUUCAGUUUUGUUCUCCUGUACAUACCUAUGAACAUUGUAUGUACAUUUAGCAUAUGAGCCAUACUUUUCAAUGGUUUGUAUUACAGUUGAUUAAUAUGAUAAUUAAAUGCCUUAUUUGUGCAGUACAUUAUUA